UGCGUAGGUGGCGCCGUAAGUCGGGUGUGAAAUUUCGGAGCUUAACUCCGAAACUGCAUUCGAUACUGCGGUGCUUGAGGACUGGAGGGGAGACUGGAAUUCAUGGUGUAGCAGUGAAAUGCGUAGAGAUCAUGAGGAAGACCAGUGGCGAAGGCGGGUCUCUGGACAGUUCCUGACACUGAGGCACGAAGGCCAGGGGAGCAAACG
rnacentral:rRNA from 1 species